rnacentral:rRNA from 1 species
UACGUAGGUGGCAAGCGUUGUCCGGAAUUACUGGGUGUAAAGGGAGCGCAGGCGGGUAGACAAGUCAGCUGUGAAAUCCAAUGGCUCAACCAUUGAACUGCAGUUGAAACUGUUUAUCUUGAGUGAAGUAGAGGUUGGCGGAAUUCCGAGUGUAGCGGUGAAAUGCGUAGAUAUUCGGAGGAACACCGGUGGCGAAGGCGGCCAACUGGGCUUUUACUGACGCUGAGGCUCGAAAGUGUGGGGAGCAAAC